GCAAGAUUCUCAUAAGAAGACGAGAACUGGAAAAGCUCCUGAAGAGGGAGAAAUACAAGCGCCCCUGCCUGGCUGCGAUUGCUGUUUGUACCACACCUGCUGAGACAAAGAAGAGCCCAGACUGGAUUCCCUCCAGAAACCGGAAGGGAAGCUCAGUCCAAGUGGGGAGGGUGUUAAAGUCUUGAGUCCAAGGCUGACACACUCAGGGGGCCCAGAGAGACAGGAGCACCUGCCAUCUCCAGACAAAUGUGGAGAGAAGCAUAAGAGCAACACCGUGUCCCCACUUAAAAAGGCCCAGAAUGCAUUUCAAUACCGAACAUCCUGCAUAGAGGCAGCUCUUACCUUGCUGAACCUGGAGCUCACCAACUUGGCUAGACUGGCUGGGCAGCAAGCUGCAGGAACCCUCCUGUCGCCGCGCCACAAUGCUGAGGUCACAGGCACAAUUGCCACGAUUUCAGCUAGGGAUACAAACACAGGACCUCAUCUCUGCACACCAAGUACUUUCCCCACCAAGUCAUCUUUUCCUGACCCCAGAUUUAGCCAUUUUCUAAAGUAGAGAAUCUCUGUUUACCAGGUAUGAUUGACUGCAGCCAGUGUACACGACUUUUCCUUGCAAGUGUGUUUCCUGACUCAAAUCUGAAAUAAGGACAUUGGGCGCAGCAUGCUGAAGACAACAUGCACUGGAAUUCAACUUUCCAAUGACAGAGGGAGACGUCAGGCUCAUGAGCAGCCUGCACAAUGAGUUGAAUCCGAGUGAGCUAAGAACAUGAGCCUCUGCCAUCAGCAGUGCUGCGGCCACGUCUUAGCAAUCAUCUGCAGACAAAUGGAUUGGCAAUCAGUAAAUCAGUAGUGUGUGCACGUGCGCACACGU